rnacentral:rRNA from 1 species
AGUGAACGCUGGCGGUAGGCCUAACACAUGCAAGUCGAACGGCAGCACAGUAAGAGCUUGCUCUUACGGGUGGCGAGUGGCGGACGGGUGAGGAAUACAUCGGAAUCUACUUUUUCGUGGGGGAUAACGUAGGGAAACUUACGCUAAUACCGCAUACGACCUACGGGUGAAAGCAGGGGAUCUUCGGACCUUGCGCGAUUGAAUGAGCCGAUGUCGGAUUAGCUAGUUGGCGGGGUAAAGGCCCACCAAGGCAACGAUCCGUAGCUGGUCUGAGAGGAUGAUCAGCCACACUGGAACUGAGACACGGUCCAGACUCCUACGGGAGGCAGCAGUGGGGAAUAUUGGACAAUGGGCGCAAGCCUGAUCCAGCCAUACCGCGUGGGUGAAGAAGGCCUUCGGGUUAUAAAGCCCUUUUGUUGGGAAAGAAAAGCAGCAGGUUAAUACCCCGCUGUUCUGACGGUACCCAAAGAAUAAGCACCGGCUAACUUCGUG